rnacentral:rRNA from 1 species
CCUACGGGUGGCAGCAGUGAGGAAUCUUGGUCAAUGGGCUUACGCCUGAACCAGCCAAGUCGCGUGAGGGAAGACUGCCCUAUGGGUUGUAAACCUCUUUUGUCAGGGAGCAACUCCGGCUACGUGUAGCCCGACUGAGAGUACCUGCAGAAAAAGCAUCGGCUAACUCCGUGCCAGCAGCCGCGGUAAUACGGAUGAUCCGCGCGUUACUCGGAUUUAUUGGGUUUAAUGGGGGCGUUGGUGGAGUGUUAAGUCAGUUGUGAAAGUUGGCGGCUCAACCGUAAAAUUGCAGUUGAAACGGGGAGACUAGAGUAAAGGAGGGGAGGACGGAAUUCGUGGUGUAGAGGUGAAAUGCUUAGAUAUCGAGAGGAAC